rnacentral:rRNA from 1 species
GCUUACGGCCACACCUCCCUGAGCAACGCCGAUCUGUCUGAUCUCGGAAGCUAAGCAGGGUCGGGCCGGUUAGGACUUGGCUGGGAGACCGCCUGGGAAUACCAGGUGCUGUAAGCC